GUUGAGAAUGUAUAAUCCUACGUCAAACACCAGGCAGAAGGCGCGGCUCUGACAAUCCAGUGACUUCUGAGUGCACAAGAUAUCAUCAGCAUCCACACUGCUGUGUUUGCCAGGACAGCAAGGUGACUUCCCGUGCCUUGGGGUGAGACGUGCCAGAGAAACCGAAGCUCCUGCAUCCAGCGGUGGAACCGUGAUCAGUCACACCUCCAGAGGGCGAUGGUCCGGCUGCUCUGCUCCUCUGCUCAGGCGUGGUGAGUUUGACACCGUGAUUUUCAAUGCUACAGCUAAAGGAGAUUUUCAAGUCCGUACAGAGAUCUUGUCGAAUUUGCUGUAGCGGUAGCUGCGGUGUGCCUGUAGCCCUGUCUUGCAGAAACAGACCAAACGUACAGAUUGUACCACCCCACGAGAUCUUGUGAGACUACUUUUGAAACUGUUACAAAAAUGAAGCUGCUUUUUACGGGCCUUUACCCCUUAUAAAAAUCACAUUUUUGUAACAUCAAACCAAACACCUCAUUCCUUUCAGCACAAAUCCCAUCAGAUCAAGCUAUGAAACAAUAUAUAAACCCCUCUUCUGCAAGCUUGAACCUCUCCAUCACAUUGCUUUACCAGCUAAAUGUGUCCCCUGCACACAUCUGGCUUUUAGAUAAAGGGGGAUACUGCAUGAAACUUUAUCUGAAAACCAACUGAGAAAUACAAUAAUCAAGUAACAUAAUGAGACCACAGAAUUAAAUACAGAUUUAUAAAGCAGUAAGGAGCAAGGAGCAAACUAAGUGCUUCCAGUUUUAAAAAAAGGUAUAAAGCAGUUGCUAUAAGUGGUACACAAAACAGCUAAUUGAGCCCUUUGAUUUUAGGAAAACCUGCAUAUCCAUGCAUCAAUUAACUUAAAAAAGCAACCAAAUCAAUAUUGAACCGUCUAUUCAUCCUCACUCACAAGAAGAAAAACCUUAUAAAAAUAUUAAGUAUAGUAAUAUUAAGUAAGUAUAAAAAUAUUAUUUAUCUACUUCAUAUAUAAAAAUCCAAGAGCUCAGGAUCUACUCAAGAUUAAGGAUAAUUUCAGCCACUGAUGCAAACCACAUCUUGAAGUUAAGGAUAAUUUCAGCAACUGCCCCAAGCUACAUCUUCUAACUCAAAUUUCUUCCAACAAGCAAAAUCCUCUAAGGAGUAAUAGAUACCAGUCUUCUGCACAGAACUCAUCUAGAGCAUGAAUUAACUGUAGACAUUCAAUCCUUUCACUAACAGUCUUUUGAAUACUCCUGUUCCAGCAUAAAUGUCUUGUUCCAAUUUAACAUAAUCCACCUAAUCCAUUUGCAGUACGACUCACUUAUACCUCAAAAGCUAGAUGGAAUUGAGACACAGAAUUCUGGAAUUGCAGUUUAAGACUCACUUGUCUGUUUAGAUUACAGGUUGCUUCAUCAUUUGAACAGACAGUUCUUUGGGCAUCUAAAAUUCCAUCAAGUCUGAGGAAACCUCAUGCAUUCACCAUGUUCAGAAUCCAAAAACCUGACAUUCCUCAAGAUCAAUCUGAAAAAAAAGGAAACAGAACACUGAGUGCAUCUGAUAAACUGACAG